rnacentral:rRNA from 1 species
UUGAAAUAGCUUUCCCUCCAGAGUGGAUCCUGAGUACGGCGGAACACGUGAAAUUCCGUCGGAAUCCGGGAGGACCAUCUCCCAAGGCUAAAUACUCCCUAGUGACCGAUAGUGAACCAGUACCGUGAGGGAAAGGUGAAAAGCACCCCGGAAGGGGAGUGAAACAGUUCCUGAAACCGUGUGCCUACAAGUAGUUAGAGCCCGUUAAUGGGUGAUAGCGUGCCUUUUGUAGAAUGAACCGGCGAGUUACGAUUUGUUGCAAGGUUAAGCGGAAAAAGCGGAGCCGUAGCGAAAGCGAGUCUGAAUAGGGCGCAUAAGUAACAGGUCGUAGACCCGAAACCAGGUGAUCUACCCAUGUCCAGGAUGAAGGUAAGGUAAUACUUACUGGAGGUCCGAACCCACGCACGUUGAAAAGUGCGGGGAUGAGGUGUGGGUAGCGGAGAAAUUCCAAUCGAACUUGGAGAUAGCUGGUUCUCUCCGAAAUAGCUUUAGGGCUAGCCUCGAGGUAAAGAGUCAUGGAGGUAGAGCACUGUUUGGACUAGGGGCCCUUCUCGGGUUACCGAAUUCAGAUAAACUCCGAAUGCCAUGUACUUAUACUCGGGAGUCAGACUGCGAGUGAUAAGAUCCGUAGUCGAAAGGGAAACAGCCCAGACCACCAGUUAAGGUCCCCAAAUAUAUGUUAAGUGGAAAAGGAUGUGGGGUUGCUUAGACAACCAGGAUGUUGGCUUAGAAGCAGCCACCAUUGAAAGAGUGCGUAAUAGCUCACUGGUCGAGUGACCCCGCGCCGAAAAUGUACCGGGGCUAAACAUAUUACCGAAACUGUGGAUGAACCUCUUUAGAGGUUCGUGGUAGGAGAGCGUUCUAAGGGCGGUGAAGUCAGACCGGAAGGACUGGUGGAGCGCUUAGAAGUGAGAAUGCCGGUAUGAGUAGCGAAAGAAGGGUGAGAAUCCCUUCCACCGAAUAUCUAAGGUUUCCUGAGGAAGGCUCGUCCGCUC